rnacentral:rRNA from 1 species
GACGAACGCUGGCGGCGUGCUUAACACAUGCAAGUCGAACGAUGAAGCCCAGCUUGCUGGGUGGAUUAGUGGCGAACGGGUGAGUAACACGUGAGUAACCUGCCCUUGACUCUGGGAUAAGCGCUGGAGACGGCGUCUAAUACCGGAUACGACCUGCCCCGGCAUCGGGUGCGGGUGGAAAGUUUUUCGGUCAAGGAUGGACUCGCGGCCUAUCAGCUAGUUGGUGAGGUAAUGGCUCACCAAGGCGACGACGGGUAGCCGGCCUGAGAGGGUGACCGGCCACACUGGGACUGAGACACGGCCCAGACUCCUACGGGAGGCAGCAGUGGGGAAUAUUGCACAAUGGGCGAAGGCCUGAUGCAGCAACGCCGCGUGGGGGAUGACGGCCUUCGGGUUGUAAACCUCUUUUAGUAGGGAAGAAGGGCUUCGGCUUGACGGUACCUGCAGAAAAAGCACCGGCUAACUACGUGCCAGCCGCCGCGGUAA